GCUUUGAUAGUUUAAAUCAAAACGUCGGUCUUGUAAACCGGAAAAGAACAUUUUUCUUCUCAAAGCA
rnacentral:tRNA from 1 species